UACGGAGGAUGCAAGCGUUAUCCGGAAUGAUUGGGCGUAAAGCGUCCGCAGGUGGCGAUGUAAGUCUGCUGUUAAAGAGUGAGGCUCAACCUCAUAAGAGCAGUGGAAACUACAUAGCUAGAGUACGUUCGGGGCAGAGGGAAUUCCUGGUGUAGCGGUGAAAUGCGUAGAGAUCAGGAAGAACACCAGUGGCGAAGGCGCUCUGCUAGGCCGUAACUGACACUGAGGGACGAAAGCUAGGGGGAGCGAAUGGG
rnacentral:rRNA from 1 species